GAGCUGGAGACUCGGAAGUUACCAAGAACAUCAAAGGGCUCGCCGUGGAGCUCGGCAACAUGAAAUCGGAAUUAUGCGCUCAAAUACUAACGACUAGAAACAGUAAUCCAGGGAAG
ensembl:ncRNA H32C10.101 ncRNA